UUCUUCCCACUUAGAUUUCUUUCUUCCACUGAAAGCGCAUUGGAGAGGUGAGAAGUGGAUAAAAAUACAUGUUAUUUCUUGGUCGGCUGGAAGGUGGUUUUGCAGUUUAUAACUGCAGGUUGACAAGCAAACUUUGGAUUCCCCUGAAAUCCUCUGAAUUCAUCCCUAAUGUCUGCAGAAUGAAUCCAGGGACUACUUGGUGAAGAUCUUGCUUCAUAAGGAGUCUCAGAGACAAGUGGAAAAGAUUUCCAAAGCCGGCAUGGAAGGGACAGUCCUUGCCCCUUGGGCCAUUGCCCUGCUGAUCUUUGGUGCUGUGCUGAUAAUGACCUCACUGAUGAUCCUCCCUCCUGUCACUCUCCUCAUCUGGAGAAUCCACCAGAUGCCAGAGAUCUCGCUGGUAGGGGCCAUAUAAGUCCAGGCCCCUUCCAGACCUCUGCUGACUCCCAGAUUGUUCUGUCUUAGAUGGCGUUACCCAGACCAAAAAGUCUUGGGCCAUUUAUGAAAUUCACAUAGCCCUUACCUCCCUGUCACAAGCUUUCAGUGGUCUUCCGUAUCAGACAACUGCUUCCCUUUGUAGAAUCACGGAAUGCAAAAGCUUGAAGCAACCAAACUCUCCAUGGUACAUAUGAAAAAAAAAAUUGAAGGGGAAGGGACUGGCCCAAAGCCACACAGAUAGUAAAUGGCAGAGCCAAGAGUCAAACCUAGGUCUAACCAUAGGUCAGAGCAUUAGCUCUUUCCCCUUUUUUUGAACGUGUCCAAUUGAGAUCAUAUUUCAAUGUGUCCUUCUAGGACCUGGUGAAUUGGCCUCCUAUUACUACAUAAAAUGCCCUGACUACACACAGCAGAUAGGGAGCCAAAUGGACAAAAACUUCAUCUUUGUUCUUUCACCCUCAAAGUGGCUCUCUGGAACCUCUGUUGAUAUAGUAACAAUGCAGAAUUACAGAUAACAAUAGCUUAAAGGACUUUAGAGAUAAACUAGGUUAACCCUCUCAUUUUACAGCAAAGGAAGCAGAAGUUUCCCAGAGAGAUUAUGUGAUUGGCCCAUGGUCACAGAAAGUAAAGAGGACAGCUGAGAUGUGAAGUCUAACUCCAAGUAUAACACACUACCUUGUUAGAACCAGCACAAUAUCAAUGCCAUUUUCUUAAGACACUCUUGCUCUGACUUAUAUACAUGAAGCAACGAGUUGGUUGCCAUUCAAUUGAUCAACCAGCAAGCAUUUAUUAAGCACUUACUAUGUGCCAGACACUGUUCCAGGUGUUAGGGAUACAAAUAUAAAAGUAAAAUAGCCCUUACCCUUGAGAAGCUUACAUUCUAGCUAAGAGAAACAAUAUAGGUAGGUAGGACGAUAGAAUAGGAUAGAUGGAGAGAGAGAGAGAGAGAGAGAGAGAGAGAGAAUUUAUGAAAUAUAUACAAAAUGGUACAAGAUAAUUUAGAGGGGUAACACACUAGCAGUUAAGAAUUCAGCUUCAUGUAGAAUGGAGGUAUUAAACCCACAGGCCACAUGCAUCCCAUGAUAUUCUUUACUGCUGCCUGAAAAAAGAUUAAAAUGUAAUUGGAAAUUAUUAAAAAAAAUAAAAUAUAAAAUUACAUUUUAAAACUAAGUCAAUAUGCAGCCACCAAGAAUCUUAUGUAUGGAUUAGUGACCCUGUUUCUAUUUGAUACCAAUAAUGUAGAAGAUGGAACUUGGGAUGAACCUGGAAGUAAACUGGAUUUAUAAGAGAUGAAGGUGAAGAGAACUGUCCAGCAUGGUGGGGGUUAGUGGGGAUGUUGGGAAAGGGAGUCAACCAGAGAAAAGACAGAGAUGAGAAAUGGGGUGCUAUGUAUGAGGAACAGAAAGUUUGGCUGAACCAUAUUAUAAAGGAAGGAGAAUAAUGGGUAAUAAGUCUGGGGCAAAAAAGGUUGAAGCAAGAUUGUGAAGGAUUGUUAUUGACAAUGAAGCAAAAGGGAGCCACUGAUGUUUAUUGACUAGGACAAUAACAUGAUUAGACCAACACUUUAGGAAAAUAACUUUUACAGCUAUGUAGAGGAUGGAUUGGAUUGAGGUGAAAUGGGGCAUAGAAAACAAUGACAAGGCUAUUUCAAUAGUCCAGGUGAUAAGGGCCUAAAGGAGGUGAGAGACUACAUGAGCAGAAAAAAAGACAUAUGCUAGUAUCAAACUCUGGGGAGACCCUGGGAGCCCUACCCGCAGUUUCUAACUGCUCCCAAGAAAACCCACACAUACCCCAGCAAUUUCCAACAGCCCCUAUUCCUGGUACACUUGGCAAAGCUAACCCAAGUUCAUUUCUGUGACUGUGUUUCUGUAACUCUUCAAUGCUCCCCUCCUCCAGCUCUGCUAUUCUGUGUACCCAGACUAUAUGCUCUCCAUGAUAUUUCCCAUGACGGUGCCUAAUGAGAACUCCAUUCUCCCUUUCCUCCCUGGGCAUCUCUGUCUGAAUAAGGCAAUAUGUUGUCCCAAAUUGCAAUUCCUUGACCUUGAAUA